CCCAUGCAAAAAAGCAACAACAAAAAAAAAAAAAAAAUGCUGUUGAAAACAAAAAAUAGAAGCACUCCAUAUUGCACGCCUUUGUUCUUCUUUUUU
rnacentral:ribozyme from 1 species